rnacentral:hammerhead_ribozyme from 1 species
GCACUGUUGAAGAGUCCCAUAAUAGGACGAAACGGCCGUCCAGUGU